UACGUAGGGUGCGAGCGUUAAUCGGAAUUACUGGGCGUAAAGCGUGCGCAGGCGGUUUUGUAAGCCAGAUGUGAAAUCCCCGGGCUUAACCUGGGAAUGGCAUUUGGGACUGCAAGGCUGGAGUGCGGCAGAGGAGACUGGAAUUCCUGGUAUAGCAGUGAAAUGCGUAGAUAUCAGGAGGAACACCGAUGGCGAAGGCAGGUCUCUGGGCUGACACUGACGCUCAUGCACGAAAGCGUGGGGAGCAAACAGG
rnacentral:rRNA from 1 species